rnacentral:rRNA from 1 species
UUUAUGGAGAGUUUGAUCCUGGCUCAGGACGAACGCUGGCGGCGUGCCUAAUACAUGCAAGUCGAGCGGAUGAACCUGAUUGAUUCCUUCGGGAUGACGUCAGGGGAUUCAGCGGCGGACGGGUGAGUAACACGUGGGCAACCUGCCCCUCAGACUGGGAUAACAUCGAGAAAUCGGUGCUAAUACCGGAUAAUUUUCGGGA